GGUUAGAGUGUAGAGGUGGCAGGUAGCCUAGUGGUUAGAGUGUAGAGGAGGCAGGUAGCCUAGUGGUUAGAGUGUAGAGGAGGCAGGUAGCCUAGUGGUUAGAGUGUAGAGGAGGCAGGUAGCCUAGUGGUUAGAGUGUAGAGGAGGCAGGUAGCCUAGUGGUUAGAGUGUAGAGGAGGCAGGUAGCCUAGUGGUUAGAGUGUAGAGGCAGGCAGCCUAGUGGUUAGAGUAUAGAGGCAGGUAGCCUAGUGGUUAGAGUGUAGAGGAGGCAGGUAGCCUAGUGGUUAGAGUGUAGAGGCAGGUAGCCUAGUGGUUAGAGUGUAGAGGAGGCAGGUAGCCUAGUGGUUAGAGUAUAGAGGCAGGUAGCCUAGUGGUUAGAGUGUAGAGGUGGCAGGUAGCCUAGUGGUUAGAGUGUAGAGGAGGCAGGUAGCCUAGUGGUUAGAGUGUAGAGGCAGGUAGCCUAGUGGUUAGAGUGUAGAGGAGGCAGGUAGCCUAGUGGUUAGAGUGUAGAGGAGGCAGGUAGCCUAGUGGUUAGAGUGUAGAGGAGGCAGGUAGCCUAGUGGUUAGAGUGUAGAGGAGGCAGGUAGCCUAGUGGUUAGAGUGUAGAGGAGGCAGGUAGCCUAGUGGUUAGAGUGUAGAGGAGGCAGGUAGCCUAGUGGUUAGAGUGUAGAGGAGGCAGGUAGCCUAGUGGUUAGAGUGUAGAGGAGGCAGGUAGCCUA